AGCACACUGUUGCCAUUCCAGGCUUGUGUGGGAGAAGACUGCUGUGCGCCUGUGUCUGUCCGCCCGGGCGACUCCAGCCCUUGGUUAAUAAAAGGUCAGCAAGAGACACACCUGGGAUUCAAAGAUAUAAGUAGAUUGAAAGUAAAGGAUGGAAAAGAUACAACAUGCAAAAAAUAACCGCAAGAGAAUACGCAGCAUCGAUGUUCUUAUCAACAGAGUGGUCUGAGAAGCUGUGUAGCUGGUGAGAGAUGCAGCCAUGGUGCAAAGCUAGGUGGGCCUGACUCCAAAGACCGAGUUUCUUCAU